UACGAGGGGAGCUAGCGUUGUUCGGAAUUACUGGGCGUAAAGGGCGCGUAGGCGGUUCUAUAAGUCAGAUGUGAAAGCCCCGGGCUUAACCUGGGAGGUGCAUUUGAAACUGUAGGGCUUGAGAUCGAGAGAGGAAAGUGGAAUUACGAGUGUAGAGGUGAAAUUCGUAGAUAUUCGUAAGAACACCAGUGGCGAAGGCGACUUUCUGGCUCGAUGCUGACGCUGAGACACGAAAGCCAGGGGAGCGAACGGG
rnacentral:rRNA from 1 species